rnacentral:lncRNA from 1 species
CACCAAUUUAAUCCAGCUCAGCCAGGGCAGGCAGCCCACUUCAGCCUCCUUGGUUGUUUCCUGUGGUCCACAGGGAGUUGAAGCUGACCUGCUGCCCAACCAUCUCUCUGUUGCACCUCCCAUCUACCACCACCACCACACCACAAAGGCCAGGGGCCAUGGCUGCAGGCAGAGAGGACGCCACGGAAAGCAAGACCUGGAGAGAAAGACUGCUGUGACUGAUACUUAAGCAUUUUUCUGUCCUUGUCAUGCAUGAUCCCGAGCAUUUGGGGAACUCCAAGAUAAAACAUGGCUCCUGCUUUCAGAAGCCUUCUAAUUUGAAUGGGGAGACGAGGCACGAACACAAUCGUUUCAAGGCAACAUUGUGUGUGAAAAAACGCUACAAGAGAGAAACAAAUGAAGAGAG